AUAACACUGGGGCUCUCUAAGAGAGAAGGAGGGCAACCCCCUUCCCCACCCACCCAGUAAUCCACUCAGAGGGAAGAGAAGGAAGGAUGAAUGGCUUUUCAGAAGAGAAAGCACAGUUCUCAAGUGGAGCCUUGGGUCUCUCUGCAUAGGACUGACUGACGAGCCUAUCUGGAGAGCUCCUACUAAGCCCAGUCUCCUGUCUCCUCCACCACCAAAAGGCAUCCUUUGGUGAUGUCAUUACUGUCAUUCACCGUGAAUAUGGACAAUCAACAGCCAAGGAUCUUUUGUGUAAUUAAAUGUACUAGCUUGACAGCUCCCAAAUGAGGGGGUAAUAGUUACUGGAUGUAAAGUGGCUUUUCUCUAAUCCUGAGUGACGGCAUGCUGUUGCUAGGUGCCUGUUUUUCUGCCUUUCAAAUACAAAGUGACUAAUGGGGUAUAUUUCAUAACACAUCUGCAAGUAUGUAGUUCUUCUUAUACUUCGAUGCCCUUUAAAAUAUUAUUAUCUGCCAACAUUUGGACUAUGUGCUUAUAUGCAAAUUAGACAUAAUAAAGGAAGAAGGGAGAAGUUCUUUGCUCUUGAAAAAUCAUAUUUAUAAGGUUAACGAGAUUUAUAUAUUACAUCAGGGAACUGGGGUUAGAAUGCAAAACUUUAUCAAUGUAACUUGGCAACAAUAAAGAUCCUCUGGUGUUUUCCCCUGUAUGAGAUCAAAACUUUUUAUCUACACUGAGGUUUAAUU
rnacentral:lncRNA from 1 species